AAUUCCGAAAUGACACUAUUCAAAUGAAUAAUUGAUAGGAACCUCGAUCUGGUAACGGAUUGAACCUCACCAAAAAAUCUAAUAAUUGGCGAGGCCCGGAAUAUGAACUUGACUUAGAUUCGGAUUCCGACGACCAUUGCUCUCAUUGUGAAAGAGAUAGUGAGGUGAAGAACGACCAGUUUCUGACGAGCUUUGGUAUGGCUGGUGGCAGUGAUGGGGUCAGCAGCUGCGACUGCUUUGAUGGUGAAGAGGGGGAGUGGCAUUAGGGUAUGAUGAAGGUUACAGCUGUGCUUUUGUCUUAGGGUUGGGGUCUUCAAAUUACAUGUGUGUUGGAAUGGAGAUGAAGAAGAGGGGUUGUUUUUUGUCUUUGGUUUUGUGAGGGUGUGAAGAAGAAGAAUUUCGGGAGGAUGGAUGGGGGUCU
rnacentral:lncRNA from 1 species